rnacentral:rRNA from 1 species
CCCCUAGAUGUUCUGGGCCGCACGCGCGCUACACUGAACAGUUCAACAAGUCUUAACCUUGGCCGAUAGGUCUGGGUAAUCUUUGAACGCUGUUCGUGAUUGGGAUAGACCUUUGCAAUUAUGGGUCUUCAACGAGGAAUUCCUAGUAAACGCAAGUCAUCAGCUUGCAUUGAUUACGUCCCUGCCCUUUGUACACACCGCCCGUCGCACCUACCGAUUGAAUGGUCCGGUGAAUAAUUCGGACUGCAGCACUGCUUGGUCUCCAGGCUUUGCAGCGGAAAGUUUAGUGAACCUUAUCACUUAGAGGAAGGAGAAGUCGUANCA